AGAUUGAACGCUGGCGGCAUGCCUUACACAUGCAAGUCGAACGGCAGCACGGGAGCAAUCCUGGUGGCGAGUGGCGAACGGGUGAGUAAUAUAUCGGAACGUGCCCAGUCGUGGGGGAUAACGCAGCGAAAGCUGUGUUAAUACCGCAUACGAUCUAUGGAUGAAAGCGGGGGAUCGCAAGACCUCGCGCGAUUGGAGCGGCCGAUAUCAGAUUAGCUAGUUGGUGGGGUAAAAGCCUACCAAGGCGACGAUCUGUAGCUGGUCUGAGAGGACGACCAGCCACACUGGAACUGAGACACGGUCCAGACUCCUACGGGAGGCAGCAGUGGGGAAUUUUGGACAAUGGGCGCAAGCCUGAUCCAGCAAUGCCGCGUGCAGGAUGAAGGCCUUCGGUUGUAAACUGUCUUUUGUACGGAACGAACGGUUCUCUCUAAUACAGGGCUAAGUGACGUACGUAAGAAUAAGCACCGCUAACUACGUGACCG
rnacentral:rRNA from 1 species